rnacentral:rRNA from 1 species
CCUACGGGAGGCAGCAGUGGGGAAUUUUGGACAAUGGGCGCAAGCCUGAUCCAGCAAUGCCGCGUGCAGGAUGAAGGCCUUCGGGUUGUAAACUGCUUUUGUACGGAGCGAAACGGUCUGCUUUAAUACAGUAGGCUAAUGACGGUACCGUAAGAAUAAGCACCGGCUAACUACGUGCCAGCAGCCGCGGUAAUACGUAGGGUGCGAGCGUUAAUCGGAAUUACUGGGCGUAAAGCGUGCGCAGGCGGUUAUAUAAGACAGAUGUGAAAUCCCCGGGCUCAACCUGGGACCUGCAUUUGUGACUGUAUAGCUAGAGUACGGUAGAGGGGGAUGGAAUUCCGCGUGUAGCAGUGAAAUGCGUAGAUAUGCGGAGGAACACCGAUGGCGAAGGCAAUCCCCUGGACCUGUACUGACGCUCAUGCACGAAAGCGUGGGGAGCAAACAGGAUUAGAUACCCUGGUAGUCCACGCCCUAAACGAUGUCAACUGGUUGUUGGGUCUUCACUGACUCAGUAACGAAGCUAACGCGUGAAGUUGACCGCCUGGGGAGUACGGCCGCGAAGGUUGAAACGUCAAAUGAAUUGACGG